GUUAAGCGACUAAGCGUACACGGUGGAUGCCCUGGCAGUCAGAGGCGAUGAAGGACGUGCUAAUCUGCGAUAAGCGUCGGUGAGGUGAUAUGAACCGUUAUAACCGGCGAUUUCCGAAUGGGGAAACCCAGUGUGUUUCGACACACUAUCAUUAACUGAAUCCAUAGGUUAAUGAGGCGAACCGGGGGAACUGAAACAUCUAAGUACCCCGAGGAAAAGAAAUCAACCGAGAUUCCCCCAGUAGCGGCGAGCGAACGGGGAGGAGCCCAGAGCCUGAAUCAGUGUGUGUGUUAGUGGAAGCGUCUGGAAAGGCGCGCGAUACAGGGUGACAGCCCCGUACACAAAAAUGCACAUAUUGUGAGCUCGAUGAGUAGGGCGGGACACGUGGUAUCCUGUCUGAAUAUGGGGGGACCAUCCUCCAAGGCUAAAUACUCCUGACUGACCGAUAGUGAACCAGUACCGUGAGGGAAAGGCGAAAAGAACCCCGGCGAGGGGAGUGAAAAAGAACCUGAAACCGUGUACGUACAAGCAGUGGGAGCCUCUUUAUGGGGUGACUGCGUACCUUUUGUAUAAUGGG
rnacentral:rRNA from 1 species